rnacentral:rRNA from 1 species
UACGAAGGGUGCAAACGUUGCUCGGAAUUAUUGGGCGUAAAGCGCACGUAGGCGGCUUGGCAAGUCGGAUGUGAAAUCCCUCGGCUCAACCAAGGAAGUGCAUCCGAAACUGCUGAGCUUGAGUACGAAAGAGGAUCGCGGAAUUCCCGGUGUAGAGGUGAAAUUCGUAGAUAUCGGGAGGAACACCAGUGGCGAAGGCGGCGAUCUGGGUCGAUACUGACGCUGAGGUGCGAAAGCCAGGGGAGCGAACGGG